rnacentral:misc_RNA from 1 species
CAACCCUCAAGCACUGCUUGGUGUUGGGGCAUCGUCCGCUGAGGACGGGCCCUGAAAACUAGUGGCGGGCUCGCUAUAGCUCCGAGCGUAGUAGUUUCCUCUCGCUUUGGACGCGUGGCGGGUUCUUGCCGUAAAACCCCCAUCUCUCAGAA